rnacentral:rRNA from 1 species
GUCGAGCGAGACUUCGGGUCUAGCGGCGGACGGGUGAGUAACGCGUGGGAACGUGCCCUUCUCUACGGAAUAGCCCCGGGAAACUGGGAGUAAUACCGUAUACGCCCUUUGGGGGAAAGAUUUAUCGGAGAAGGAUCGGCCCGCGUUGGAUUAGGUAGUUGGUGGGGUAAUGGCCCACCAAGCCGACGAUCCAUAGCUGGUUUGAGAGGAUGAUCAGCCACACUGGGACUGAGACACGGCCCAGACUCCUACGGGAGGCAGCAGUGGGGAAUCUUAGACAAUGGGGGCAACCCUGAUCUAGCCAUGCCGCGUGAGUGAUGAAGGCCUUAGGGUUGUAAAGCUCUUUCAGCUGGGAAGAUAAUGACGGUACCAGCAGAAGAAGCCCCGGCUAACUCCGUGCCAGCAGCCGCGGUAAUACGGAGGGGGCUAGCGUUGUUCGGAAUUACUGGGCGUAAAGCGCACGUAGGCGGACUGGAAAGUCAGAGGUGAAAUCCCAGGGCUCAACCUUGGAACUGCCUUUGAAACUAUCAGUCUGGAGUUCGAGAGAGGUGAGUGGAAUUCCGAGUGUAGAGGUGAAAUUCGUAGAUAUUCGGAGGAAC